GAUGAACGCUGGCGGCGCGCCUAAUACAUGCAAGUCGAGCGAACAGACGAGGAGCUUGCUCCUCUGACGUUAGCGGCGGACGGGUGAGUAACACGUGGAUAACCUACCUAUAAGACUGGGAUAACUUCGGGAAACCGGAGCUAAUACCGGAUAAUAUAUUGAACCGCAUGGUUCAAUAGUGAAAGACGGUUUUGCUGUCACUUAUAGAUGGAUCCGCGCCGCAUUAGCUAGUUGGCAAGGUAACGGCUUACCAAGGCAACGAUGCGUAGCCGACCUGAGAGGGUGAUCGGCCACACUGGAACUGAGACACGGUCCAGACUCCUACGGGAGGCAGCAGUAGGGAAUCUUCCGCAAUGGGCGAAAGCCUGACGGAGCAACGCCGCGUGAGUGAUGAAGGUCUUCGGAUCGUAAAACUCUGUUAUUAGGGAAGAACAAAUGUGUAAGUAACUAUGCACGUCUUGACGGUACCUAAUCAGAAAGCCAUGGCUAACUACGUG
rnacentral:rRNA from 1 species